rnacentral:rRNA from 1 species
AACGUAGGUGGCAAGCGUUAUCCGGAUUUACUGGGCGUAAAGCGUGUGCAGGCGGCUUAUCAAGUGGUGUAUGAAAUAUCCAGGCUCAACCUGGAGGGGUUAUGCCAGACUGGUAGGCUAGAGUGCGAGAGAGGGGCGUGGAAUUCCGGGUGUAGUGGUGAAAUGCGUAGAGAUCCGGAGGAACCCCAGAGGCGAAGGCGGCGCCCUGGCUCGACACUGACGCUCAUGCACGAAAGCGUGGGGAGCAAACAGG